GAAGCACAGAAAACAGCACAUCCUCGGGCUGCGUCCUUCCAGCGUGAAGUCGUGCAGAUUAAUGGCAGCGCAAAAUGAAGUCUGGGAUGGUUUCAGUCCAGGUUUGUCAGCUCACACUGCGUGUAUUUAUGAGAAAGGAAGGUGAGAGCUGCUACGCAACGGAAGCUCUUGGACAAGGCUCAGUCAGAACCUUUCCUAAAGGAGUUUUCUUUCCCAGUGCAUAGCUAACAAAUGGCAAUGAAAACUCAGCCCUACAGUUCUUCUGUUACUCAGAGAUCCCCAUUUCUGCCCUGGUGUCUACUGUGGAAGCUCUGGAGGUUGGCUACAGCCAACACAAAAAUCCUUCUCAUAACCUAAUGCAUGCUGCAGAUGUGACACGGACAGUCUAUUACCUCCUUUUCAAGAUGUGUGUAGUGUAGGUAAUGGCUGUAUUCCCGGGAACAUUACCAAAUCAGCUGGCGGUGGACUCUCUCCUUCUACACCAUAAACACUGUCCCAUCUUGAAGGCAUGUGUUGCUUCAAUGUAACUGAUUAAUCAGCCAGCCUAGAGGAUGACAUUCAAUGUUUCCAAGAUUUUAACACAUCAAAUGAAACAAUCUACUGGUGGUGUCUGGCUGGCUGAGCUGUGUAAUUCCCUGACAGGAUGGGUGGGACACUUGAUUCAAAGCACUAUUGUAGGGAUAAGUUUAUUCCUUUUUCUAUAUGUGUUCAUUACAUGCCUCUACACAUUACCCUGCCCUGCACCCUGCAAGCCCAAAGGGACACCUCCAGCUUUGCCAGCCCCAGCAGAAGUGCUCCCUUGAGUGAGGGGGUGGAACGUGGGAUAAUAACGGACGAUUGGCGAGGAAGAUUAUAAACAUGCCCAAGUGACCUGCAGCUGGCGUGCAGAAGUAUACAUAUAUUAUACUAAUUGCUGUUUAUCCUUGCAUGCUUGACAAGUAGAACAUCUGUGUUUAGGUAACACAGGCCUGUGACAGACUUAAGAGGCACCCUAUCGAACACGCUUGAGAUUCCUGUCCUGCUGUGGGAAGGAUCAAAGCACAGUGGUAUAUUGUGCCUGCACAAAUCCCUGAUAAACUGGUGAAAACAACAGGGUCAGCAAUCCCCUAGCAUGGGCUGAGCUCAGCAGUCCCUGUGUCCCUGCUCAUGUGCCUGUGCCUGGGUGCUGCUUCAGGGAUCCCCCGGUUGGUGAGGUAACAAAAAUAAAUUUACUGUUUGCAUUUAAUCCGUGGUUUUGUGGUUGUUCCUGCAUCCUGCCUGUGCUGCCUCACACAGUCAUUGUAACUACCCCAGCUGGCACUUCAAACACCCUCUGCUCAAGGAGACACGCCAGCCCUGCAGCCUUGCAGUGAGUCAAGUCCAGCAGUCUAUCUCUCUGCUCUGGUCAUGGCAAAGUGCUCCUGCCUGGAGCCCAGUGGGGCAGCAGCACUCACCCAUUUCAAAGGUUGCAUUUAACUUCAAGAACAGAAAGUCCAAGCAUUCAGUGUUACCUGGGAACUAACCACAUUUAAGAACUGAGCCAGCAGCUGAGCAUCAGAUGAUGCCAGCAGCUGUUCAUCCUUCAAAAGGCACAUGUGCUUCUGGAGGCAGCGCCACCUUCCUAGGCGAAGGACGGAGUUUAUUCAGGCUCAAUUCUUCUGGCAUCUGCCCUGUCACAAAACGUGCAAUGGCUCUGGAAGUUGAAACACUGGUUUAAUUAAUGCUGUAGCAUUAAGCAAGCAAAGCCUGUUUGAAUGGCCAGUGGUUUUUUGGCUCCAAGCCCAUUGUGCACAGGCAAAAGGGCUUCAAAAAUCCUUCUUACAACAGCCAUCUUGUGAAUUGAUAAGCAAAUCUGGGGGAAAACAUAACUAUCAGCACAUAAAACAGCUAUGAUGUACAGUGCAUAAAAUCCUUCCACCUGACGCACCCGAGGGAAAGAAGACUUAUUUGAAGGGGGAGAUUGACACCCUGAGGCCGCCGGGCUGUUCGGGUACCGGUUGCACCGGCCGCAGCCCAAGGCGGCGCCGGACGG